UGGUCAAGUUAUUAAGGGUGCAGGGCGGAUGCCUUGGCACUAGGAGCCGAUGAAGGACGUGAUAAGCUGCGAUAAGCUUCGGGGAGUUGCACGUAAACGUUGAUCCGAAGAUUUCCGAAUGAGGAAACUCACUUAGAGUAAUGUCUAAGUAUCAUUAAGUGAAUACAUAGCUUAAUGAGGGGAACUCAGGGAACUGAAACAUCUAAGUACCUGAAGGAAGAGAAAG
rnacentral:rRNA from 1 species